GCAAAGCUGGCUGAGUGGUUUAAAGCGUAGCAUUAGAAUUGCUAUGUAGGUCCUUUGUUUAUCAAGGGUUCGAAUCCCCCUCUUUCA
rnacentral:tRNA from 1 species